ensembl:lncRNA
UGGCUUUAGAGGCAGAUAGACGUAAUGGUAGUUUUCUGUAAAACAAGGAAAAUGGGAUCCAAACCGGGGACUUUCCAGCGUAUUGUCUGAAAUGUAUACUUUGUGUAAUAGCGGACCGGACUGUGUGAGGUUAAUCGGCUUUGAAGGGGAAAGCUGUGUCUACAGCUCAGUGCUGAAUUCUGCCGCCGGGAGUGACGUGGCCGCGGACUGUCAUCGAGGGUUCAUUGUUCUGGUGCAGCAGUUGGAUCGCCGAUCUUCUUUGUGGUGCAGGAGUUGGAUCGCCGACCUUCUUUGUGGUGCAGGAGUUGGAUCGCCGACUUUCUUUCUGGUGAAGGAACUGGAUCGCUGACCUUCGACAUCAAUGGUUUUUUUUUUUUGUCGUGACAGGGAGUACAGCUUCUACAGGUGACAUGGGAAUGACCAAACGUUGUGCACAACGGGAGUAAAAGAGAGUGCAGCAAAAAUCAGUUAAUUUUGGCCAAAUAAUUUGUUAUUGAAAAAAAAAUUUGGAUGUGUCUUGGAGAUAAUUAAAUAAUAAUAUUGAUAUCUCAAAAAAAAAUAAGUGAUUUGAGUCAGUGUGUCAUUUCUCUGCAUGAAAUCAUUCCUGUCCUACUGCCUAAGACUCAGAAAUUCGUCUAGGUAAAUAUAUCGGUCUUUAAACCUCGAACCAGGACAUCACUGAUGAAUUGUGGUGAUCCCAGACCGUGAGAUUUAUAUUUUUUGCAGAUUUGUUUAGACUCGGUUACAUAGCCAUUCUUGAUGUGUAUUUAAUAUAUGUUAUAUGUUUAUACAUGUAGCAGUCAAUAAUUUCAUUUGAAAGUCUUGCUAGCCCCUAUAAAUAGGAAUAAAUGAUUCCCCCUUUUGCACCGCAUGAGGUAUUGUGUAUAACACCACUUUUCAGCUGGAAAUUUAAUUGUGCAUAUGUCUCAUUGUUUCGGAUAAAUGCAGAAUUCACCCGCAUCACCACUGUUCCCCUCCUGUCCAGAUUCAUGUCCAAACUGGAUCAUUACUCGAACCAGUUGAUGAAGGUGUUUAGAAAAAAGGGUGGAGCAGCAAGACACAAAAUAAGCAUGAUCAUGGCAGCCAUGGACAAGAAUCCUACUGUUGAAACAUGAAGAGAGUGUGUCCUCAAAGCACUUUGUGUGUACCUCAGUGAAAAUCCUGAAAAGUUCAUAAAGGACUAUGUGGUUGUUGAACCUGGUGCAAUGACAGCAAUGGAGGGAAAGGUCAUGGAAAUCUGUUAUCCGACACGAGGGAGCAGAGCCCACAGAGUCGCCUGAGGAUGUUGGCAUCAUAAUCGAGGGAGUUGAAGUGUUGUAAGAUCUGAGAGAUGUGGCAAGUGGGUACAGUCGUGUUUGGCGUCAUCUACAGUUUAAACCUCAGCUACCCCAAAGACCGGAGAUACAUGUUUGGAUUUUUUCAAAAAGUUUUAAUGGAUUUGGAUGGCAACAGACUUUCCAUAAAGGUGCAGAUCUUCAAGAACCGACUACAUGAGUAAUCCCAACUGCAGUACACAACUGACUGAGUCUCCGCUGGUCACGCUGCCCGGGCUCCCCUGUCACUCCUCUCCACCACCAAACUCUGAACCAGCGUUCACCCGUGGAGGAGGAGGUGUCUCAUCCCUGCCUGCCUCAGCCCGUCCCCGCUGCCCCAGCCUCUGGAUCUCCCAGCAUGCCACAACCACUCUCUGUCGCUCGCCCACCCCAGCGGGGAACUAACCUGGACCGCAGGUCUCCAGUAGCCUGUCUGCCCCACUUCCAGUCCGUAGUGAGUUCCUGAGUUUUUCCUGGCUUUAGUUUCACGUUUAUCUAGUCUUUAGUUUCAGUCACUCACUCCCCCUUAGGUCUUUUGGCAUACCUAAUUUGUAGC